ensembl:miRNA
UAGCCGGGCGUGGUGGCGGGCGCCUGUAGUCCCAGCUACUUGGGAGGCUGAG